GGGAGAUGCGUGAGAGUCGGGCGGGGAAUACGGAGGGGGCAAGGGGUGGCCGGGUUGACUGGGCGGAGAGCGCCGGGAGGCGGCGCGGUAAGUUGCAGGUGAAAUCUCACGGCGCGACCGGGAGCGGGCAGGGAAAACGACCGGGCUUGAGGCAGGGAGAGGGAUGUGGAAUUCCCGGUGUAGUGGUGAAAUGCGUAGAUAUCGGGAGGAACACCAGUGGCGAAGGCGGCAUCCUGGCCCUGUCCUGACGCUCAGGGGCGAAAGCGUGGGGAGCAAACCGGAUUAGAUACCCCAGUAGUC
rnacentral:rRNA from 1 species